rnacentral:rRNA from 1 species
UUGGAGGGCAAGUCUGGUGCCAGCAGCCGCGGUAAUUCCAGCUCCAAUAGCGUAUAUUAAAGUUGUUGCAGUUAAAAAGCUCGUAGUUGAAUUUCGGGAUCAGUGGGUCGGUCGUGCCACUGGUAUGAACUGGCCCUACUGGUUCCUCCUUCUUGAAGAACUGUAAUGCCAUUAAUUUGGUGUUGCAGGGAAACAGGACUGUUACUUUGAAAAAAUUAGAGUGUUUAAAGCAGGCAAUCGCUUGAAUACAUUAGCAUGGAAUAAUGAAAUAGGACGUUCGAUCCUAUUUUGUUGGUUUCUAGGAUUGACGUAAUGAUUAAUAGGGAUAGUUGGGGGCAUUAGUAUUCAAUUGUCAGAGGUGAAAUUCUUGGAUUUAUUGAAGACUAACUACUGCGAAAGCAUUUGCCAAGGAUGUUUUCAUUAAUCAAGAACGAAAGUUAGGGGAUCGAAGACGAUCAGAUACCGUCGUAGUCUUAACCAUAAACUAUGCCGACUAGGGAUCGGACGAUGUUAAUUUUUCUUGACUCGUUCGGCGCCUUACGGGAAAC